UGGGGAAUAUUGCACAAUGGGCGCAAGCCUGAUGCAGCCAUGCCGCGUGUGUGAAGAAGGCCUCGGUUGUAAAGCACUUUCAGCGAGGAGGAAGGUGGUGAGCUUAAUACGCUCAUCAAUUGACGUUACUCGCAGAAGAAGCACCGGCUAACUCCGUGCCAGCAGCCGCGGUAAUACGGAGGGUGCAAGCGUUAAUCGGAAUUACUGGGCGUAAAGCGCACGCAGGCGGUUUGUUAAGUCAGAUGUGAAAUCCCCGGGCUCAACCUGGGAACUGCAUUUGAAACUGGCAAGCUAGAGUCUCGUAGAGGGGGGUAGAAUUCCAGGUGUAGCGGUGAAAUGCGUAGAGAUCUGGAGGAAUACCGGUGGCGAAGGCGGCCCCCUGGACGAAGACUGACGCUCAGGUGCGAAAGGCGUGGGGCAGCAAACAGGAUUAGAUACCCUGGUAGUCCACGCUGUAAACGAUGUCGAUUUUGGAGGUUGUGCCCUUGAGGCGUGGCUUCCGGAGCUAACGCGUUAAA
rnacentral:rRNA from 1 species